AAUCAACGCUGGCGGCGUGCCUCAGACAUGCAAGUCGAACGCGAAAGUUUCCUUCGGGGAACAAGUAGAGUGGCGCACGGGUGAGUAACACGUAGGUAAUCUACCUUUGGAUGGGGGAUAACAACCGGAAACGGUUGCUAAUACCGCAUAAUGCAGCGGCACCUAAUGGUGACAGUUGUUAAAGCGGGGGAUCGAAAGACCUCGCGUCUGAAGAGGAGCCUGCGGCGGAUUAGCUAGNGGUAAGGUAAUGGCUUACCAAGGCGACGAUCCGUAACCGGCCUGAGAGGGCGGUCGGUCACACUGACACUGACAUACGGGUCAGACUCCUACGGGAGGCAGCAGUCGGGAAUUUUGGGCAAUGGGCGAAAGCCUGACCCAGCAACGCCGCGUGAAGGAU
rnacentral:rRNA from 1 species